UACGAGAGGUGCAAGCGUUAUUCGGAAUUAUUGGGCGUACAGGGUGUGUAGACGGCGUAUUAAGUCAACUGUUAAAUACUCUGGCCUAACCAGAGACAUGCGGUAGAAACUGAUAUGCUAGAGGAUGGAAGAGAGAAGUGGAAUUCUCGGAGUAGCGGUAAAAUGCGUAGAUCUCGAGAGGAACACCGAUGGCGAAGGCAGCUUCUUGGUCCAUUCCUGACGUUGAAACACGAAAGCGUGGGGAGCAAACAGG
rnacentral:rRNA from 1 species